rnacentral:rRNA from 1 species
GAUGAACGCUAGCGGGAGGCUUAACACAUGCAAGUCGAGGGGCAUCACGAGGUAGCAAUACUUUGGUGGCGACCGGCGCACGGGUGAGUAACACGUAUGCAACCUACCCUGUACAGGGGGAUAACCCGGAGAAAUUCGGACUAAUAUUCCAUAAUGAUAUUUUAGGGCAUCCUUUAAUAUUUAAAGCUUUGGCGGUACAGGAUGGGCAUGCGCAACAUUAGCUAGUUGGGAGGGUAACGGCCUACCAAGGCUAUGAUGUUUAGGGGACCUGAGAGGGUGAUCCCCCACACUGGUACUGAGACACGGACCAGACUCCUACGGGAGCAGCAGUGAGGAAUAUUGGUCAAUGGGCGGAAGCCUGAACCAGCCAUCCCGCGUGCAGGAAGACAGCCCUAUGGGUUGUAAACUGCUUUUCCAGUGGGCGAACCCCUCGUACGUGUACGGGAUUGACGGUACACUGGGAAUAAGCAUCGGCUAACUCCGUGCCAGCAGCCGCGGUAAAAGUGUGUGUAC